UACGUAGGGUGCGAGCGUUGUCCGGAAUUAUUGGGCGUAAAGAGCUUGUAGGCGGUUUGUCGCGUCUGCUGUGAAAAUCCGGGGCUCAACCCCGGACUUGCAGUGGGUACGGGCAGACUGGAGUGUGGUAGGGGAGACUGGAAUUCCUGGUGUAGCGGUGGAAUGCGCAGAUAUCAGGAGGAACACCGAUGGCGAAGGCAGGUCUCUGGGCCACUACUGACGCUGAGAUGCGAAAGCGUGGGGAGCAAACAGG
rnacentral:rRNA from 1 species